CCCCACUGAUCCUGCCAGUAGCAUAUGUUUGUCUCAAAGAUUAAGCUAUGCUAGUCUAAGUACCCAUGGCCGGUACAGUGAAACUGCGAAUGGCUAUUUAAAUCAGUUAUGGUUCCUUUGAUCGCUCUCAUGUUGGAUAGCUGUGGCAGUUCUAGAGCUAAUACAUGCCAUCAAGCGCUGACCUCCAGGGAUGCAUGCAUUUAUCAGACCCAAAACCCAUGCAUGCUUUGGUGACUCUAGAUAACCUCAAGCCGAUCACUGGCCCUCGUGUUGGAUACAUCUCAUUCAAAUGUCUGCCCUAUCAACUUUUGAUGGUACUUUCUGUGCCUACCAUGGUAACCACGGGUAUCAGGGUUCAAUUCCGAAGAGGGAGCCUGAGAAACAGCUACCGCAUCCAAGGAAGGCAGCAGGCGUGCAAAUUACCCACUCCUGACUUGGGGAGGUAGUGGCGAAAAAUAAUACAGGACUCUUUCGAGGCCCUGUAAUUGGAAUGAGUACACUUUAAACCCUUUAACAAGGAUCAAUUGAAGGGCAAGUAUGGUGCCAGCAGCUGCGGUAAUUCCAGCUCCAAUAGCGUAUCUUAAAGUUGCUGCAGUUAAAAAGCUCGUAGUUGGAUCUUGAGAUUGAGCUGAUGGUCUGCUGCGAGGUGAGUUACCGUCUGUCCCAGCCCCUGCCUCUCAGUGCCCCCUUGAUGCUCUUAGCUAAGUGUCCUGCGGGGUCCGAAGCAUUUACUUUAAAAAAAUGUGUUCAAAGCAGGCCUGGCCACCUGAAUGCCGCAGCUAGGAAUAAUGGAAUAGGACUCCAGUUCUAUUUUGUGGGUUUUCUCUCUGAACUGGGGCCAUGAUUAAGAGGGACAGCCGGGGGCAUUUGUAUUGUGCCGCUAGAGGUGAAAUUCUUGGACCAGCGCAAGACGGACGAAAGCAUUUGCCAAGAAUGUUUUCAUUAAUCAAGAACAAAAGCCAGAGGUUCGAAGAUGAUCAGAUACUGCCAUAGUUCUGACCAUAAAUGAUGCCAACUAGUGAUCCGGCGGCGUUAUUCCCAUGAUCCGCCAGGCAGCGUCCGGGAAACCAAAACCUUUGGGUUCCGGGGGGAGUAUGGUUGCAAAGCUGAAAUUUAAAGGAAUUGAUGGAAGGGUACCACCAGGAGUGGAGCCUGCGGCUUAAUUUGACUCAACACAGGAGACCUCACCUGCCUCGGACACGGAAAGGAUUGACAGAUUGAUAGCUCUAUCUCGAUUCUGGGUGGUGGUGCAUGGCCGUUCUCAGUUGGUGGAGCGAUUUGUCUGGUUAAUUCCGAUAACAAACAAGACUCCGGCGUGCUAACUAGUUAUGCGGACCCGUGCAGUAGGCGUCCAACUUCUUAGAGGGACAAAUGCGGUUCUUACACGAGAUUGAGCAAUAACAGGUCUGUGAUGCCCUUAGAUGUCCGGGGCUGCACGCGCACCACACUGAGUGGAUCAGCAUGUCUACCCUUCACUGAAAGGCAUGGGUAACCCACUGAACCCCAUUCAUGAUAGGGAUUGGGGAUUGCAAUUACUUCCCAUGAAUGAGGAAUUCCCAGUAAGCACAGGUCAUAAGCUCACGUUGAUUAAGUCCCUGCCCUUUGUAUAAACCGCCCGUUGCUACUACCGAUUGGAUGUUUUAGUGAGACCCUCGAAUUGGCCCCGCUGGGGUCAAUGGCGGAGCACCGAGAAGACCAUCAAACUUGACUAUUUAGAGGAAGUAAAAGUCAUAACAAGGUUUUCAUUGGUGAACAUGCAGAAG
rnacentral:rRNA from 1 species